rnacentral:misc_RNA from 1 species
GAUGAAGAACGCAGCGAAAUGCGAUAAGUAGUGUGAAUUGCAGAAUUCAGUGAAUCAUCGAAUCUUUGAACGCACAUUGCGCCCGCCAGCAUUCUGGCGGGCAUGCCUGUUCGAGCGUCAUUUCAACCCUCGAGCCCCCCCGGGGGCCUCGGUGUUGGGGGACGGCACACCAGCCGCCCCCGAAAUGCAGUGGCGACCCCGCCGCAGCCUCCCCUGCGUAGUAGCACACACCUCGCACCGGAGCGCGGAGGCGGUCACGCCGUAAAACGCCCAACUUUCUUAGAGUUGACCUCGGAUCAGGUAGGAAUACCCGCUGAACUUAAGCAUAUCAAUAAGCGGAGGA